GACGGAGGAUGCAAGCGUUAUCCGGAAUUAUUGGGCGUAAAGCGUACGCAGGUGGUUAGACAAGUCUUAUGUCAAAGCGCAAGGCUUAACCUUGUAAAGGCAUGGGAAACUGUCUGGCUAGAGUAUGGUAGGGGCAGGAGGAAUUCCCGGUGUAGCGGUGAAAUGCGUAGAUAUCGGGAAGAACACCAGUGGCGAAAGCGUCCUGCUGGGCCAUAACUGACACUCAUGUACGAAAGCUAGGGGAGCGAAUGGG
rnacentral:rRNA from 1 species